GGGGCAUUAGCUCAUUUGGCUAGAGCACUUGCCUGGCAGGCAAGGGGUGACCGGUUCGAAUCCGGUAUUCUCCA
rnacentral:tRNA from 1 species